UGAUCUCUGCACAGCUCGAGAUUCUAAUGUAGCCACGCAAGCGCCUGGCCUCUACCGGUAUACACUCGAGCAGGAUCUAGAACAUCUUCUCCUCACAAAUCUAUGCUCCAAAAAUCAGAUCUCUAUCUGAUUUGGAAGUACUUCAGAACUCCUUCUGAAGUUGGAGCAGCAGCCUGUCGAAGAUGUCCUGCAGCCUUCCUGUUCCAGGCAUCACCACGCCUUGGACCUUUUCCAGAUGGAUGUCCAACUCCUUGGAUAUGAAGAGGAG
rnacentral:lncRNA from 1 species